rnacentral:lncRNA from 1 species
GAAAGUGUUUUCUCAUUUUCUUUUUUUGUUUCUUUUUAUUAAUGAAUUUCCCAUCAUAAUUGUCCCUUCUAAUAUGGAUUAUCAUUUUCGUGUUAUACCAUGGAUACUACUGCCAUCCAUAACAACAUAAAAAAUGAGGAUGUGUGUCUCAUCGAUAGUGCUUCCACUCAUACUAUUCUAAAGGAUAAGAAGUAUUUUU